rnacentral:lncRNA from 1 species
CAUUUUGCAAUUUUAUAGCCUAGCAAAUGUAGUAAGAAAUUCUCUCAACAUAUACAAAUAUCAGAACAUCGGCCACGCCCCCUUCUUGUACAGCGCACAAUACAAGCACGAAGGGCAGGUAGCCAUGGAAGCUCACACGGAUAAGCCACGCUUGCAGAAGAAUGCACCUUGUAUUUGCAUUUCGCCACCUCCAUGGUCUCAAAGUCAAUGGAGAAUAGCCAUGUCUCCCCUGCCGGAGAAAACACAAUAGAGCUCAUGCUGAUCGAGACGAUCCUGGUAGACCCACGGAAGUACUCAUCCUUGUGCCCUGCCAACCCACGAGUAGCCUCCAUUAAUUGGAGGCUCUUCUGAAGCUCCUAGUCGGUGCUACCGUACUUCCUUACCACAAAGAUGCGAAGGUUGUUGCCCUGCAAGCAAACAACAUGCACCAAGUUGCUGUUGUUGAUAUCAAUGACUCGCAAAUCCGAUCCUCGUACGUGGUCCGGAAGUGGGACGACCUCAAACUCGUUUGGCCACCGAAAACUAUAAGCUAGCAAGGAGGAAGAGUCGUCUACCAUGGUCCAGAAAAAGGA